rnacentral:rRNA from 1 species
CCGGCGCACGGGUGAGUAACGCGUAUGCGACCUGCCCGUUGCAGGGGGGAUAAUCGGGAGAAAUCCCGUCUAAUACCGCGUAACGCCGCGGGGCUGCAUGGCCCUGCGGCCAAAGGGAGCGAUUCCGGCAACGGAUGGGCAUGCGUGACAUUAGCUAGUUGGCGGGCAACGGCCCACCAAGGCGACGAUGUCUAGGGGUUCUGAGAGGAAGGUCCCCCACACUGGUACUGAGACACGGACCAGACUCCUACGGAAGGCAGCAG